GAUGAACGCUAGCGGGAGGCCUAACACAUGCAAGCCGAGCGGUAGAAGUCCUUCGGGACUUUGAGAGCGGCGUACGGGUGCGUAACACGUGUGCAACCUACCUUUAUCAGGGGAAUAGCCUUUCGAAAGGAAGAUUAAUACCCCAUAAUAUAUUGAAUGGCAUCAUUUAAUAUUGAAAACUCCGGUGGAUAGAGAUGGGCACGCGCAAGAUUAGAUAGUUGGUGAGGUAACGGCUCACCAAGUCAAUGAUCUUUAGGGGUCCUGAGAGGGAGAUCCCCCACACUGGUACUGAGACACGGACCAGACUCCUACGGGAGGCAGCAGUGAGGAAUAUUGGACAAUGGGUGAGAGCCUGAUCCAGCCAUCCCGCGUGAAGGAUGACGGUCCUAUGGAUUGUAAACUUCUUUUGUAUAGGAAUAAACCUACUCUCGUGAGAGUAGCUGAAGGUACUAUACGAAUAAGCACCGGCUAACUCC
rnacentral:rRNA from 1 species